AUGGCUCAAAUGUUAGAGCACCUGCCUAGAAAGUAUGAGGCCCUGAGUUCAAAUCCCAGU
rnacentral:tRNA from 1 species